CAGCAGUCUGUGUGUGUAUUCAGCGAACUGUGUGUGUGGAUUCAGCGGACUGGGUGUGUGUGUGUGUGGGUACUUGGCAUUCUAUGUGUGACUGUAUUCAGCAGUGUGUGUAUUCAGCAGUUUAUAUAUUCAGCAGUCAGUGUGUGUAUUCAGCAGUGUGUGUAUUCAGGGGACUGUGUGUGUGUAUUCAGCAGUGUGUGUAUCCAGGGGACUGUGUGUGUGUAUUCAGCAGACUGUGUGUGUGUAUUCAGCGUACUGUGUGUAUGUUUGUGUGUGUGUAUUCAGCGGACAGUGUGUAUGUAUUUAGCAGUCUAUGUGU